UCCGUGUUCGAAAGGGAAACAGCCCAGACCACCAGCUAAGGUCCCAAAAUAUAUGUUAAGUGGAAAAGGAUGUGGCGUUGCCCAGACAACUAGGAUGUUGGCUUAGAAGCAGCCAUCAUUUAAAGAGUGCGUAAUAGCUCACUAGUCGAGUGACACUGCGCCGAAAAUGUACCAGGGCUAAACAUAUUACCGAAGCUGUGGAUUGUCCUUUGGACAAUGGUAGGAGAGCGUUCUAAGGGCGUUGAAGCAUGAUCGUAAGGACAUGUGGAGCGCUUAGAAGUGAGAAUGCCGGUGUGAGUAGCGAAAGACGGGUGAGAAUCCCGUCCACCGAUUGACUAAGGUUUCCAGAGGAAGGCUCGUCCGCUCUGGGUUAGUCGGGUCCUAAGCUGAGGCCGACAGGCGUAGGCGAUGGAUAACAGGUUGAUAUUCCUGUACCACCUAUAAUCGUUUUAAUCGAUGGGGGGACGCAGUAGGAUAGGCGAAGCGUGCGAUUGGAUUGCACGUCUAAGCAGUAAGGCUGAGUAUUAGGCAAAUCCGGUACUCGUUAAGGCUGAGCUGUGAUGGGGAGAAGACAUUGUGUCUUCGAGUCGUUGAUUUCACACUGCCGAGAAAAGCCUCUAGAUAGAAAAUAGGUGCCCGUACCGCAAACCGACACAGGUAGUCAAGAUGAGAAUUCUAAGGUGAGCGAGCGAACUCUCGUUAAGGAACUCGGCAAAAUGA
rnacentral:rRNA from 2 species